rnacentral:rRNA from 1 species
UAAGGAAUCUUCCACAAUGGACGAAAGUCUGAUGGAGCAACACCGCGUGCAGGAUGAAGGUUUUCGGAUCGUAAACUGCUUUUAUCAGAGAAGAUUAUGACGGUAUCUGAUGAAUAAGGACCGGCUAACUACGUGCCAGCAGCCGCGGUAAUACGUAGGGUCCAAGCGUUAUCCGGAAUCACUGGGCGUAAAGCGUGCGUAGGCGGAAGCUUAAGUGAGGUGUUAAAUCGUGUGGCUCAACCAUAUCGAUGCAUCUCAUACUGGGCAUCUAGAGGACGGCAGAGGCAAGUGGAACUGGUAGUGUAGCAGUGAAAUGCGUAGAUAUUACCAAGAACACCAAUGGCGAAGGCAGCUUGCUGGGCCGAACCUGACGCUGAGGUACGAAAGCGUGGGGAGCGAA